GGUUGUGGCUCAGUGGUAGAGCACUUGCCUAGCACGUGUGAGGCACUGAGUUCAAUCCUCAGCACCA
rnacentral:tRNA from 1 species